GAGGCCUUGGUCAGGAAUGUUCCACACCUGAUCUCACUCUGCCAUGGGCUCCUGGACCCUCUGCUGCGUGUCCCUUUGUAUCCUGGUAUUGACACAAACAGAUGCUGGUGUUAUCCAGUCGCCCAGGCACAAAGUAACACAGAUGGGACAAUCAGUAACUCUGAGAUGUGAACCCAUUUCAGGCCACAAUGAUCUUCUCUGGUACAGACAGACCUUGGUGCAGACUCUGGAAUUGCUUAGUUACUUCCGCAGCCGGACCCUUGUAGAUGACUCAGAGAUGCGCCAGGAUCGAUUCUCAGCAGAGAUGCCUAAUGCAUCAUUCUCCACUCUGAGGAUCGAGCCCACGGAACCCAGGGAUUCGGCUCUGUAUCUCUGUGCCAGCACCUUUCCCACAGCGCUGCAGAAUCUCCCCCUCCCUGUGCAGAAACCCUGGUGCUUCCUCUUCUUCCCACACCUCCCAGCAGUCCUGGGCAAAGUCUUUCCUGCUCCCCCCUCACUAUGAUAAUUAAGUGGGUUUGGGGCGUGACCAAAACAGAAGACGGUAGAAUAUUAACAUGAAAAUCAUGUGUAGGGGAUAAUGUAGAAAAUGAGUUUUGGGAAUUUCUCACAAAUUGUCUAAGGAGUCAGGAUUCAUAGGCAUGUAGAUAAACCUUAAUUACCCACACUGUAGGUUUCUUUGCCUUUCAGCAUUUGCCAUUCCCAUUAGCAAGCUGAGAGCUCCAGAGAAUGGCUGUGUCUUUUGAACUAGUCUGCCCUCUGCAUUUUCUUUUCACUCUAAGC